UCAUGUUGAAACACUAGUUUUCAUAUGAUCACCAAAGUUAAGCAAUAUUGAGCCUACUCAGUACCUAGAUGGGAGACCACUUGGGAAUACCAGAUGGUGUA